rnacentral:rRNA from 1 species
AUCCAUCAAGCUUGCUUGGUGGUGAGAGUGGCGAACGGGUGAGUAAUGCGUGACCGACCUGCCCCAUGCUCCGGAAUAGCUCCUGGAAACGGGUGGUAAUGCCGGAUGUUCCACAUGAUCGCAUGUGAUUGUGGGAAAGAUUCUAUCGGCGUGGGAUGGGGUCGCGUCCUAUCAGCUUGUUGGUGAGGUAACGGCUCACCAAGGCUUCGACGGGUAGCCGGCCUGAGAGGGCGACCGGCCACAUUGGGACUGAGAUACGGCCCAGACUCCUACGGGAGGCAGCAGUGGGGAAUAUUGCACAAUGGGCGCAAGCCUGAUGCAGCGACGCCGCGUGAGGGAUGGAGGCCUUCGGGUUGUAAACCUCUUUUGUUUGGGAGCAAGCCUUCGGGUGAGUGUACCUUUCGAAUAAGCGCCGGCUAACUACGUGCCAGCAGCCGCGGUAAUACGUAGGGCGCAAGCGUUAUCCGGAUUUAUUGGGCGUAAAGGGCUCGUAGGCGGCUCGUCGCGUCCGGUGUGAAAGUCCAUCGCUUAACGGUGGAUCUGCGCCGGGUACGGGCGGGCUGGAGUGCGGUAGGGGAGACUGGAAUUCCCGGUGUAACGGUGGAAUGUGUAGAUAUCGGGAAGAACACCGAUGGCGAAGGCAGGUCUCUGGGCCGUCACUGACGCUGAGGAGCGAAAGCGUGGGGAGCGAACAGGAUUAGAUACCCUGGUAGUCCACGCCGUAAACGGUGGACGCUGGAUGUGGGGCACGUUCCACGUGUUCCGUGUCGGAGCUAACGCGUUAAGCGUCCCGCCUGGGGGAGUACGGCCGCAAGGCUAAAACUCAAAGAAAUUGACGGGGGCCCGCACAAGCGGCGGAGCAUGCGGAUUAAUUCGAUGCAACGCGAAGAAGCCUUACCUGGGCUUGACAUGUUCCCGACGACGACAGAGAUGGCGUUUCCCUUCGGGGCGGGUUCACAGGUGGUGCAUGGUCGUCGUCAGCUCGUGUCGUGAGAUGUUGGGUUAAGUCCCGCAACGAGCGCAACCCUCGCCCCGUGUUGCCAGCACGUUAUGGUGGGAACUCACGGGGGACCGCCGGGGUUAACUCGGAGGAAGGUGGGGAUGACGUCAGAUCAUCAUGCCCCUUACGUCCAGGGCUUCACGCAUGCUACAAUGGCCGGUACAGCGGGAUGCGACAUGGCGACAUGGAGCGGAUCCCUGAAAACCGGUCUCAGUUCGGAUCGGAGCCUGCAACCCGGCUCCGUGAAGGCGGAGUCGCUAGUAAUCGCGGAUCAGCAACGCCGCGGGAAU